AAAUGACUGCAACAGCCAGGUCUAGACCAGGCCCAAGGCAGGAGCCAAGAGCUUCAUUCAGGUCCCCCAUGUGGGUACAGGGGCCAAGCACCUUGCGCCAUCUUCUGCUGCUUUCCCAGGCCCCUUAGCAGGGAGCUGGAUCAGAAGUGGGGCAGCUGGGACUCGAACCCGCACUUAUAUGGGAUGCCAGCAUUGCAGGAGGUAACUGAACUUGCUGUGCCACAGCACUGGGCCCAGGUGAGGAAAUCAGAGAAUAGAGUUGGCAUUGUGGUGCAGCGAACGUAUCCGCUUCUUGGGGCACCCAUAUCCCAUAUCAGUGCUGGUUUGACUCCCUGCUCCUCUGUUUCCUAUCCAGCUUCCUGUAAUGCAUCCUGGGAGGGAACAGAUGACGGCCCAAGUGCACGGCCCCCUGCCACGCAUGUGGGAGACCUGGAUGGAGUUCCUGGCUCCUGACGUCGGCCUGGCUGUCGGGAGCAUUUGGGCCUGCUUCACAGAGCCCCUCCUCCACUCCGUGAACACACCAGGAAUCCCAGAACUGCUUGUCGAAAAGAAACCGACAGGAGAACCGAGGAUGCAUGUCGCCAGGCUCCUGACUCACUUCCUGACAGCACGCACCUCGCCGCCACCUGCUAACUCGCUUGUGUAACCCAGUUUGGCAUCUCUGAUUCCUUCUGGGCCUGCGAGGUUGUGCAUCAGACCCACGCGCUGUGCCGCCGGGAAGCAGGUGGACAGCCAGGCGCCGUCACGCAGAGCGCGUCUGGCCAGAUGGCCGGGGGUGAACAGCUUAGUCAGGACGCCUGGCCGCAGCACCUGGGCUGCAGCGACAUCGAGGAGGAAAGAGAAGGGAGUGACAGCACUGGGCCUGAAUGGGAUGUGACGCUGAAGUGUGGGCCGGGGCUGGGGUGUGGCUGGCCUGGCCGAAGGAUUAGCACAACUUCCUAAUAGCCCCUGGAGGUUCUGGGUAACAGCACAGGAAGGGCCUUGCCUGGGUGAUGCAUCAAGCUUUGAUUUUUUGGUGGAAGCCGGGAGAAAUGAGUAAAACGCCCAGACUUUGGGCAGGGGAGGGUGGACUGUCACACCCUCUGUGUCCCUGUGUUCACCUCCCACCCCAGGUCAGGCCAAGCCCACCACACAGAAGCGGUCCCUUGCUCCCACGUGCCUGACCAGGUGAGCGGAGACAGAAGGAAUCCUGGCUCUGUUUGGUCUGUCUGGCCUCACACGGAGCCACCUACCUCCAUAGGAAGAAGGGACCACCCCAGUCUCCCCUGAAAUCACAAGACCCAAGCACGUGUCCACCAGGCUAGGGGAAGUGUUUGGAAAAUAAAUGUCCCUUCUGCCAGAGACUGGAA